GAUUCCUUUGGGCCCCACACACGGAUUUUCAUUUUCAACACUUAGCGCCCGACGUGGGGCUCUGAGAUCACUGGCUCAGAAAACGGGAAAGGUCAGUCUGACUAACGCCUCGCCCGGCGUCCUCGGAUUAGCAUCCAAGAGCAACAGAUCCGAGAUGGGCCGCAGGCUCCCGGGAGACGGAGGAUUCCCACGUGUGAGAAAGCCCCGGGGGCAAGGCUCCCUGACAUCACCCACGUCCAGGAUCCAGGGCUUCACCUGACGGGGGUGAGAGCUGGAAUCCUACCGGAAGAACACCAGCGCCAGGCCUGUGGGUUCAGAGGGAAAGGGGAGAGGGGAGGGAGAGAAGCUGUUUUCUGCUAAUCAAAGGAGAAACCAAACCAAACGGAGGGAGUCCAAGAAAAAUACAACUCUAUUGUUCCGGGGCAGAAGAUGCUGGCUGGGAGGCCUCCUUGAGCAAUGCCGGUCACACCCUUUCUCUGUGGGACUGCAGGAAUGUUGGCUGUUCCCUGGGGGCCAGGUGGGAGGCGGGCAGACAGGUCUUUGGGGAUGAGGAGUGCUUGGAGCUGGAACUCUCUGAACAUCCCCAUGGCCUUGCAGCUGGGAGGCGGACACGGAGCAGCAGGAAUGUGGGUUGAAUGAGAGCCAGGAAGCAGCAGUCACGCUCCAACUCCCCACAUGCAAACUUCUCUUCCUCCACUACAAACAGCAAAGACUCCUUUGGAAAACCUUGAAUGCCGAGUGGCUCGCAGUCACCCACAACGCCCCGUCUUGGUGUCGCAGAAGCGGGCUCCCUCUGAGAGACAAUGUCACGAGGGCGCUUUCCCCGUUUUCCAAAGUGCUCGCCCUGCGGUGGGAGCUGUUUGUCCCAGGGUCUCUGGACUGAGGCCGAGGAACGUUAUUGCGGAUCUACCCCACAGCGACGGGCUGGAGUCAGAGCCUCUGGGCUCUCGCUCUCCCUCUCUGUCCGGAGCAGCUUGCUCUGUGACCUCAGAAAAGCUACGCCAUUUCUCUGGGCUUCGGGGCCAUGUCCUACUCAAAGGCGCUUCGUCAUCAAAAUUCAGCCCGUACUCAGUCUUUCUUUUCUCUUUCCCAAGAUCGGGGCGCUUCCCUUAGAGAUCCCCCAACAAGCUCUCCUUACGGAGGAGUCUGCUAGGAAGGAGUCCACAGGAGCUUAGAGUGAGGAAGGGCUGGAAGUGGCCAAGAGCUUUUUGGGCUGAAAGGUGACAGCCCUUUUGUCUUUAAGGAAUCCCAUGCCU